CCAAAUGUUGCCUUUAAACACUCUUCCCUGAAGACCAUCGGGCAGUUCAGCUCUUUUGAUCAGGAACCGCCCAUCAUCCUUGCUGGGCCCUGCAGACAACGCUGUGCUUGGCUUCACCACAAUGCAGUGAUCCAGCGCACAGCACAUGCUCAGUAAGUCUCUGUGGCAGGAACUCCCACAGCAUCACCAUCCCUGCCUGAACCACACCUGUGCCUCCCAGGUGGAUUCUUUACCGACUGAACCAGCAGGAAAGCCCAAUGAAAAGGCUGUGCUCUUCUCUCUGAGGACCAGACCUGCUUGGGUACAGCCGAUGGCAGCCCACAGCCUACCAUGACUCUCACCCUGACAUUCUGGGCCCUUCAAGCUGGCUUGAUGCCCAUCACAGCCUUGACCUCCAGGCUCCAGCCUGAACUCUCACCCCCACCCCAGGAUCCAUGGACCCCUCUGCUAUGGACCUGCUGCUCCAG
ensembl:lncRNA